CCUACGGGAGGCAGCAGUGAGGAAUAUUGGUCAAUGGGCUUACGCCUGAACCAGCCACGUCGCGUGAGGGAAGACUGCCCUCUGGGUUGUAAACCUCUUUUGUCAGGGAGCAAUUGGCGCUACGUGUAGCGUUAUCGAGAGUACCUGAAGAAGAAGCAUCGGCUAACGCCGUGCCAGCAGCCGCGGUAAUACGGAGGAUGCGAGCGUUAUCCGGAUUUAUUGGGUUUAAAGGGUGCGUAGGCGGAAUGCCAAGUCAGCGGUAAAAUCGCGGGGCUCAACCUCGCUCCGCCGUUGAAACUGGCGGUCUUGAGUGGGCGAGAAGUAUGCGGAAUGCGUGGUGUAGCGGUGAAAUGCAUAGAUAUCACGCAGAACUCCGAUUGCGAAGGCAGCAUACCGGCGCCCAACUGACGCUGAAGCACGAAAGCGUGGGUAUCGAACAGGAUUAGAUACCCGUGUAGUC
rnacentral:rRNA from 1 species